rnacentral:rRNA from 1 species
UAAGGAGGUUCAGUUGCUUAGACAGCCAGGAUGUUGGCUUGGAAGCAGCCAUUCAUUUAAAGAGUGCGUAACAGCUCACUGGUCGAGCGGUCCCGCAUGGAUAAUGAUCGGGCAUAAGCACAUUACCGAAGCUAUGGCAUCGAAAGAUGGGUAGGGGAGCAUUCCGUUCUGCGUUGAAGCGGGCCUGCGAGGUCCCGUGGAGCGUACGGAAACGAAAAUGUAGGCAUAAGUAACGAUAAUGCGGGCGAGAAACCCGCACGCCGAAAGACCAAGGUUUCCCCGGCCAUGCUAAUCAGCCGGGGGUCAGUCGGGACCUAACACGAACCCGGAAGGGGCAGUGGAUGGACAACGGGUUAAUAUUCCCGUACCCGCAAUGCGACAAAAGUGACGGGGCGCCAUAGUUGGUGCGUGCUGACGGAAUAGCACGUUGAAGCGAACAGUAAUGUCGCGAUAGUACACUAAGGCUACGGCUGCGGUGAUAAUCCAGGGAAUCGGGUCCCAAGAAAAGCGAGUGAAGCAGCCCGUACCCCAAACCGACACAGGUAGUUGGGAUGAGAAUUCUAAGGUGCUCGAGAGAUUCAUGGCUAAGGAACUAGGCAAAAUCGACCCGUAACUUCGGGAGAAGGGUCGCCCCCGCUUCGGCGGGGGCCGCAGUGAAGAGGUCCAGGCGACUGUUUAUCAAAAACACAGGGCUCUGCUAAAUCGAAAGAUGAAGUAUAGGGCCUGACACCUGCCCGGUGCCGGAAGGUUAAGAGGAGAUGUUAGCUUCGGCGAAGC